rnacentral:rRNA from 1 species
UAGGGAAUUUUCCACAAUGGGCGAAAGCCUGAUGGAGCAACGCCGCGUGCAGGAUUAAGGCCUUCGGGUUGUAAACUGCUUUUAUAUGUGAAGAUUUUGACGGUAGCAUAUGAAUAAGGAUCGGCUAACUCCGUGCCAGCAGCCGCGGUCAUACGGAGGAUCCAAGCGUUAUCCGGAAUUACUGGGCGUAAAGAGUUGCGUAGGCGGUUAAGUAAGCAGAGUGUGAAAUGACCUCGCUCAACGGGGUGCCCAUGCUCUGAACUGCUGUGACUAGAGAGUGGAAGAGGUUGCUAGAAUUCCUGGUGUAGGGGUGAAAUCCGUAGAUAUCAGGAGGAAUACCGAUGGCGUAGGCAGGCAACUGGUCCAUUUCUGACGCUCAGGCACGAAAGCGUGGGUAGCGAUCG